GGAUCCAGACUUUGAUCAUGGCUCAGGAUGAACGCUAGCUACAGGCUUAACACAUGCAAGUCGAGGGGAAACGACAUCGAAAGCUUGCUUUUGAUGGGCGUCGACCGGCGCACGGGUGAGUAACGCGUAUCCAACCUGCCCAUCACUUGGGGAUAACCUUGCGAAAGUAAGACUAAUACCCAAUGAUAUCUCUAGAAGACAUCUGAAAGAGAUUAAAGAUUUAUCGGUGAUGGAUGGGGAUGCGUCUGAUUAGCUUGUUGGCGGGGUAACGGCCCACCAAGGCGACGAUCAGUAGGGGUUCUGAGAGGAAGGUCCCCCACAUUGGAACUGAGACACGGUCCAAACUCCUACGGGAGGCAGCAGUGAGGAAUAUUGGUCAAUGGACGAGAGUCUGAACCAGCCAAGUAGCGUGCAGGAUGACGGCCCUAUGGGUUGUAAACUGCUUUUAUAAGGGAAUAAAGUGAGAGUCGUGACUCUUUUUGCAUGUACCUUAUGAAUAAGGACCGGCUAAUUCCGUGCCAGCAGCCGCGGUAAUACGGAAGGUCCGGGCGUUAUCCGGAUUUAUUGGGUUUAAAGGGAGCGUAGGCCGGAGACUAAGCGUGUUGUGAAAUGUAGACGCUCAACGUCUGCACUGCAGCGCGAACUGGUUUCCUUGAGUACGCACAAAGUGGGCGGAAUUCGUGGUGUAGCGGUGAAAUGCUUAGAUAUCACGAAGAACUCCGAUUGCGAAGGCAGCUCACUGGAGCGCAACUGACGCUGAAGCUCGAAAGUGCGGGUAUCGAACAGGAUUAGAUACCCUGGUAGUCCGCACGGUAAACGAUGGAUGCCCGCUGUUGGUCUGAAUAGGUCAGCGGCCAAGCGAAAGCAUUAAGCAUCCCACCUGGGGAGUACGCCGGCAACGGUGCAACUCAAAUGAAUUGACGG
rnacentral:rRNA from 1 species